UUUGACCGUGUAACAUCGCGAACACAACCUUCCGCGCAUCAUUUCACUCGACAAACAUGUUGCGUGUUUUUUAACCCGCUUCACACAUGCAACACAUGAUGUAUGUGAUAGUUUCCCGCGUUAUAAUAAUUUAUGCGUAAUAAAGAUGGCCGCCAUCUUGCACGGUGCAGACCAUAACAUGGUGUCAAGAAGUUGGUUAAAACAACGAAAGAACCCAACUAUGGAGAAAGAUUUCAAGCCAUCCCCAGAGCUAAGCCUUCAGUGCAACCUGCCGAAAACUGGAGGAUGUGGCGACAGCGUUUUAGGCUGUAUUUGGCGGCCACGGAGUCGGACAUGUAGGCGGAUGGCAUAAAGAAUGCUCGACUCCUCUCAGCGAUUGGACUUGGACAACCGAGGAAGACAAGACUAAGUAGAAAGACGUCAUGGAUAAAUUCCAGCGCGAGCUCGCAGGUUUGAAACGUGUGGUGCUUUCGAGAUACCGAUCAAUUGCCAUUUGACAAGUACAACCAAUUUGAGACUAUUGUCACGGUCCUGUGAGGCAGAUAACAUGAUAAGAGACAAUAUUGUUUUCUCUACUAAAAAAAAAAAAACACUGAAAGAAAGACUUUUGAGAGAAACUGGCACAAAUUUACAGACAGUUAUUGAUCUGUGUCGUUCUGCCGAAAUCACAAAGAGAGAAAUUCAAUCAAUGCAUGCAGCUAGAUGUGAUGCAAGUCCUAGCAUCGAGUCAAUUGUAUUAAGUCCGAUCCACAGACUCCCAAAGUGAAUGAUAGCUUACACAAACAACAAAAAAGUGCAGGCGCUGCCUCAAUCAACAUGCACCUCGAAGAUGUCCAGCCUGUGGUAAGAUCUGCAGCAAAUGUAAUGGCCCAAAUCACUUUGCUAGAGCAUGCCAAACAAAGGGUACAUGAAGUAACAGAGAAGGAAAAUGAGGAGGAAGAUGACUUUUACUUUGAUAGUAUUUAUGUUGGUAACAUUGAUGCCCCUAGCCCUAAAGAUUCAGCUUGGUUUUCUGUCAUAAAUGUAGAGGGGUCUCCUAUUAAGGUGACAUUGGAUACAGGAGCAGCUAUAAAUCUCCUCCCACGCAAAAUGUUUAUCAAGUUGAAAAACAAACUCCAGCUACAAAAGUCAAAAGCAAAGCUUACAGCCAAUGGGGGUCAUGACAUAGCUUAUGAAGGCAAGGUUUUACUGCAAUGUGCAACGCUGUGGGCGUUGCACAUGUGGGCGUGACAAUGAACAGACACUGGAGUUUUACAUCACGAAAACAAAAGCCCCUCCAAUACUAGGCCUGCAAGCUUGCUCUGCCCUGGGCCUGAUACAGAGGAGUGUUUGUAAUGAUUCAGUGCCUGUUGAUACAGUGAAUGAUCCCUUAACCUUGCAAUCUGUCAAGUCUGAAUUUCAGAAUGUGUUUGAGGGGAUUGGGCAAGUUUCCAGAACCUUACAAGAUUUCAACAUGACCAUAGGUGGAGCGCCGCCCACAGAGUGCUUACGAGUCUGCAUGCUUGGCUAAAAGGCAAGCUAGACUAACUGGAAAGAGAUGACAUUAUUGCCAAAGUGGAUGGCCCAACGGACUGGGUGCACAACAUUGUAAGUGUUGAAAAGGAAAAUAGAGAUUUUCGGAUAUGUCUUGAUCCGAAGGACCUGAAUCAGCAAUUAGGUGUGAACACUUCCAGAUAACUACCUACAAGAAUGUUAUUAGCCGCCUCGGAGGAAAGAGUUACUUCACAAUAUAAGAUCAGAAAGAUUCCUUCUGACAGGUGGAGCUGGAUGAAGAUAGCUCCAGUCUGUGUACCUUCAACAAGCCCUUCUCCAGGUAUCGUUUCAGCUUUGCCAGUGAGGUUCUACAAAAGAAAACCUACAAAGCAUUCAGCGAAAUUGAAGGUGUGCGUGUUAUUGGUGAUGAUAUGAUCAUUGCAGCAGCCUCUGAGGAAGAGAAAGACCAGAUCAUGCUCAGGGUUCUAGAAAGAGCAAGAGAACAAAACAUCAAGUUCAACCCCUGUAAGAUCCAGUUCAAGAAGGGGGAGAUCUUCUACAUGGGCAAUGUUCUGACGGAACAUGGUGUAAGACCAGACAAGGCCAAGGUCACAGCGAUUGUGAAUAUGGCAGUACCGGCAAGCAAGGAUGUAAGACGUCUAACAGGGGUCUUGCAGCAGGUCUCAUGCAAGCAGGCAAGCCGGUAGCGUAUGCCUCUAGAUCCCUCACUGAGACAGCACAGAAGUGGUUCCAGAUAGAGAACGAACUUCUGGCAAUCGUGUUUGCAGCAGAACGCUUACAACAGUACAUAUGUGGCAAGGAAGUAGAAGUUGAGAGUGACCAAAAGCCACUAGAAACCAUCCUGGUUAAGCCAAUCGAGAACGCCUCUCCUCGGAUACAACUCGUGCUGCUCCGCUUGCUAAGAUACAAUUAAAAUGUGAGGUAUGUCCCAGGAACAAGGCUCUAUAUAGCUGACACAAUCUCAAGGGCUUACACUAAGCAAGUCAAAGGACCCGAUGACGCACAAAUACCCGAGAUGGAAUCGCGGAUCCAUUGACUUGUAAAGAGCCUCCCGAUGAGUGAAAAGAGGCUGACACAACUACAGAAAGCAUCUGAGGAAGAUCAAACAUUCUGUAGGCUGAAAGCUACUAUCGAGCAAGGUUGGCCAGCCCACCGGAAGAGUACCCACCCAAGCAAUCAGACAAUAUUGGGAAAUCCGUGAUGAGCUGCAUGUCGCUGAGCACCUGAUAUUUAGAGAUGAAAAAAAAAAACAUCUUUGCCAGGCACGGCAUUCCAGAUUAUAUGAUUGCUGUUAACAUGCCGUUUGCAAGUGCUGAGAUGAGGACAUUUGCAAGAGAAUGGGACUUCCAGAUCACAACGUCCAGCCCAAAGUACCCACAAUCAAAUGGACAAAGCGAGCGGAUGAUCGGAACAGUAAAGCAGCUCAUGAGGAAAGCACAUGAGUAAGGUAAAGACAUUAAUCUGGCACUACUUGAAUAUCGCAAUACACCUGUAGCAGGUCUCAAGUAUUCACCUGCACAACUACUCAUGAGUCGGAUGCUAAAGGAUAAAUUACCUGUCACUUGUAGGCUACUUGUGCCUAAAGUUGCUGAGAAUGCUUAUGUGGAGCUGAAUGCACGGCAGCAGAAACAAAAGCCAUAUUAUGACCGUGGAACAAAUCCCCUCCCUAGAUUGGGCGUUGGGGAUUGCGUGAGGGUACAACUCUCACGCCGUGACUGGACACCUGCAAUCGUGACAGACCUACAUUCAGCUCCACGUUCAUACAUGGUCACAACGGAAAAUGGUCGUGUGCUCCGCAGGAACCGGGGGGUCAUGAACCGUACCGCCGCCAGUGGUCAUGGUUGCCCCAGAGGACACACCUGCUGCUUCAAGCGCCUUUUGUGAGCAGGCGUCUACUGCAGAAGGACCAUCCCAACAGGUUGAGGCCCCUGAUCAGCAGUCUUCACCAGACUCAGAGAAGCUACAAGAGAGUCCGAUGAAGGUAUCUAUUCGUUUGAGAAGACAGCCAUUUUGGAUGGCAGACUAUGUUACUUUAUGCUCCGCGAACUGUGAGUCGUAACAAUGAACACAAACUGCUUUGACAUUUGUUAUUGUUUAUUGUCUAUUCAUCACGUUUAAUUUGUUUGAUGAACAAUUUAGGAGUUUGAUCCUUUAUUUUGAUUGGAUAUUGAUUUAGAUAGUCUGUGAUGCUUUUCCUGUACAAAAGGGGGAUGUCGUACAUAAUGUAUGUUAUAGUUUCCCGCGUUAUGAUAACUUAUGCGUAAUAAAGAUGGCCGCCAUCGUGCACGGUGCAGACCAUAACUCCCGUGUCUGUCUAGGUUUUUACAGACACGCAAGGGAUGUUGGGAGCAUUGAUAAAAACGUGAAACGUGUGCGUGUUUUUUUUUUUUUUUUCAUAAAGUUGGGCUAAAAGCAGUCAAAGUCAUCAGAACAAUCCGAAAAACAUGGGAUCAGUUCACCGUCCUGGGCCAUCGUGAACGAUUUCAAAAAUCCUUCACGAUUUUUAAAAUCCUUCACCAUUUUUAAAAUCCUUCACGAAUUUUUUAAAUCCUUCACGAUUUCGAAAUCGUUCACGAUUUUUUAAAUCCUUCACGAUUUCGAAAUCGUUCACGAUUUUUGAAAGUCCUUCACGAUUUGGAAAUCCUUCACGAUUAUGAAAUCCUUCACGUUUUUGUAUUAGUCCGGCUUCACGACUUUCGAAUUUGUGUGAAUAAUAAAUAAAA